rnacentral:sRNA from 1 species
GUUUCAAUUCCUCAUAGGCAGGCUAUCGGCUCGCGACGGAGUGCAGGGCGCGAAAUUCAGCCUCACG